CUGGACACUUUCCAUACAAGAAUAUGCAGACCCCAAGGGACAUUUGGCAAUAUGUGGAGAUAUUUCUAUUGUCACAACUGGAAUGGGGGCAAUUCUCAAAUUUGUGGGUGGUAGGUUGCAGGUGGAGGUCAGGGAUGCUGCGAAAUGUCUUACAUUGCACAAGACAGCCCCUGCCUCCUCACCCCAACAUCCCAACAAAGAAUUACUCCACCCAAGAAGUCAAUAUUGAACAGUGCUGAGGCUGAGAAACUCUUUUCCCUCUGUCUGCCCCCACCAUAAAGCAAAGGUAAAUAAAGCCAGGACUGGCCACUCCCUGUGAGUGAAGUGUGUGUGUUAGGGGUGGGGUAUGGUGAGGGGUGUACCAUGAAUUUAGAAGACAUGCCCUUUAGCUAGAGCUGGGAUUUGUGGCCACUAUUUUGGUUUUUAUCAAAGCAUAAUGCUCACAAGUAGAAGAGGAGAUUUGUUAUUCUAAAGACAGUUGCACACCAAAGCAUGCUAUUGUAUAAUCUGGCAUUUUCCCCACUAGGGAGCUAUGGUGCAUUACUCACGAGUGACAGAACCAACGAGCUUCAUCUCCCAAGAGGCUGGUGCAUCUGUUUAAAAGGAGCAGGCGCUAUGCAGGGCCGCCCCCAUCAACCCCCCCAUGACGAAGUGCAGCGGGGGAAGCCUCUGCAGGACCAAAUUGACAGGUCUUUAAAGGCGGCUGACGAAAAGCAGCAUUAAUUAAGUCAUUGCCGGACUGUAAUUGUG
rnacentral:lncRNA from 13 species